CUACCUUAUAUGGUGGGGAAAAGAGACCCUCAGUCAAAUUCUUUCUUCUGAGGAGGCAUGGACAGAAGUUGCUACGAACCCGUAAGGAUAGGCCACCAGUAACACAGAAUAACUCUGAUCUCCUCCACCGUUAACCUAUUCAUCCCAGUUUCUCAUCUUGCUCUCAAGAUACUUCUCUCUGAUGCCUCUAGUUUGUAGCAACUCAGCAUUCUGCAAAGACUCUGCUCCAGCUGGGCAAGUAACCUUGUUAUUGCAUACACAGGUAUGCUCAGAGGACAGAAGGCUGGAAGGAAGGGAAGAAGGUAGAAAAACAAGAGUGAAAAAGAGGGUUUCCGAUUUAUGGAUGUAUAUUAAAGCAUAUUGAAGAUAUCAGGUGAUUUCAUCCCUUUAUACACUUCAGCAUAUAUCUCCAAAUGGUGAGAGAGACAGACACUGGGAGUGCUCAUGCGCAGAGGAAAGGCCGUAGGAGGAUGCUAUAAAAAGGCUGUUGUCUGCAAGCCAAGGGGUGAGGCCUCGGGAGAAACCAAGCCUGUUGACACCACGAUCUUGGACUUCCACCCCUUCAGAACCAUACCAGAGUUUACACUGGGAACACUGG
rnacentral:lncRNA from 10 species